CACAUGUGCUGCAGCACUUGAAAUUAUCAGAUUUUAAAUUUUGCAGUCCAAAUCCGCCUGCAGUUCAAUGAGUUCCAGGUUCUUGUCCUGUGACCAAGAGGAAUAAGGUGCAUGGACAUUGGAGAAUGAGCAAGGCAGAGAAGAAUUUUAUUGAGUGACAGAAGGAAAGCUCUCAACUGUGAGAAGAGACCCUGAAAACGCGUUGCCAUCUGUGAGGCUGAGUCUGGGCUUGUUUCGGCUCACAACGGGAGAAUGUGUGCUGAUUGGUCCAUGGGUAGUCUUUGGAAAAAUCACCAUCCAAUUGGUUAAAAAGCAUUAUCCUGAAGGAACCAAUCGAGAGACAGAAGAUCCUUCCUCUGCCUGUUGCGUUCAUUUCUUCUCUCCUUCCAGGUCUGAUAAAUUGACCCCAG
rnacentral:lncRNA from 1 species